UACGUAGGGUGCAAGCGUUAAUCGGAAUUACUGGGCGUAAAGCGUGCGCAGGCGGCUUUGCAAGACAGAUGUGAAAUCCCCGGGCUCAACCUGGGAACUGCAUUUGUGACUGCAUGGCUAGAGUACGGUAGAGGGGGAUGGAAUUCCGCGUGUAGCAGUGAAAUGCGUAGAUAUGCGGAGGAACACCGAUGGCGAAGGCAAUCCCCUGGACCUGUACUGACGCUCACGCACGAAAGCGUGGGGAGCAAACAGG
rnacentral:rRNA from 1 species